rnacentral:rRNA from 1 species
AUUGAACGCUGGCGGCAGGCCUAACACAUGCAAGUCGAACGGUAACAGGAAGCAGCUUGCUGCUUUGCUGACGAGUGGCGGACGGGUGAGUAAUGUCUGGGAAACUGCCCGAUGGAGGGGGAUAACUACUGGAAACGGUAGCUAAUACCGCAUAACGUCGCAAGCCCAAAGAGGGGGACCUUAGGGCCUCUUGCCAUCGGAUGUGCCCAGAUGGGAUUAGCUAGUAGGUGGGGUAACGGCUCACCUAGGCGACGAUCCCUAGCUGGUCUGAGAGGAUGACCAGCGACACUGGAACUGAGACACGGUCCAGACUCCUACGGGAGGCAGCAGUGGGGAAUAUUGCACAAUGGGCGCAAGCCUGAUGCAGCCAUGCCGCGUGUAUGAAGAAGGCCUUCGGGUUGUAAAGUACUUUCAGCGGGGAGGAAGGGAGUAAAGUUAAUACCUUUGCUCAUUGACGUUACCCGCAGAAGAAGCACCGGCUAACUCCGUG